rnacentral:rRNA from 1 species
AGCGAACGCUGGCGGCAGGCUUAACACAUGCAAGUCGAGCGGGCACUUUCGGGUGUCAGCGGCGGACGGGUGAGUAACGCGUGGGAACGUGCCCUCUGGUUCGGAAUAACUCAGGGAAACUUGAGCUAAUACCGGAUACGCCCUUUUGGGGAAAGGCUUGCUGCCGGAGGAUCGGCCCGCGUCUGAUUAGCUAGUUGGUGAGGUAACGGCUCACCAAGGCGACGAUCAGUAGCUGGUCUGAGAGGAUGAUCAGCCACACUGGGACUGAGACACGGCCCAGACUCCUACGGGAGGCAGCAGUGGGGAAUAUUGGACAAUGGGCGCAAGCCUGAUCCAGCCAUGCCGCGUGAGUGAUGAAGGCCUUAGGGUUGUAAAGCCCUUUUAUCCGGGACGAUAAUGACGGUACCGGAGGAAUAAGCCCCGGCUAACUUCGUG